UGUGUGGAGAUAGAGGCAGAGAUAAAUAUAUACAAUACAGCAUGAGUACUUAGCAUCCAUUCUGUGGCUAGCCAUUUUAUCUGGGUAUAAAGAAGCUUUGCCUUGGAUAGAUAGUUCAGCAUGCAGUUCAUUUCUUGAGUGGUGAUGAAGCCAAUUGAAGAAUACUGGCAAGAUGACUCCUUGGCUUCCCUGGACUAAGUCGACAACAAAAUACCCUUUAGCUUUCUCAUUAUUUAUAGUUGCGGAAACUGAGGGUGACAUUUUCUAUGUUUAGCCUUGCUCAUCAACAGCAGCUGAGCUAUUCUUAGCUCAGUUUUUCAAGAAAACAUAAGACAAGUGAAAAUGUUCCAUGUCAGGUGGAAGCUUCAUGCCACUGGCUCUGGAGAAUAUUACUGAAAACUAAGAGGAUUUAGUUAUGGAGUCCCAAGAUUACAGGGGGAAAACUGAAGAGGCAAAAACAGUGAAAUAACAAAAAGAAAAGUACAGAAAGAAGAUAAGGGAAGGAAAGGACAGGAGAGGAGAGAUGACAAGGGAUGAGAGCACUCUACCAAAACAGAAUGAAUGGAUUUACAUUCUUAUGGAACUCUAAAGUUGUAGCACAAUUCCCUGACUACAAAAUACAGAUGAGGAAAUGAGGCAAACAGAGUUAAGAGACUUGCCCAGUGUCACACAGCUAAUAAACAUCUGAGACCAGAUUUGAACUCAAGUUGACUCUUCCUGACUUGAGUCCUGCCACCAUAUCCAUGGGCCAUGAACAGUAGUUAAAUUUAACAAUUCCAAUGAGAUAAAACAUAUUCCAUGAGUGAUCAGGAGAAGAAACUUCAAAAUUGAAGAAAAGAAAAUUUGAAUAACAAGGUUAUUCUGAACCUAUCAGAAUCAACAGAAAAGAAUAUAAUAAUGUGUGUUGAAGAGCAAAGGAGUUCAAGAUGCUACCAAAUGUGAUAUACUCUGCAAACCUAGAACUAAUCACUAAUUUUAAUUAUGGGUAGUCACCAAAAUAGAAGCAUUUGAAGACUAUCUGCAAGAAAAAAAUGAUCAAGUUAUUCAGUUUUCCAAUAUUUCAGGCAACAAAAUCAAAAAGUAAAUAAAUAUAAAUACCAUAGAGAGUAUAAGUAACAAAAUAAUUACAGAACAAAAAGGAAAAAAAAAUUUGAAAGUGAAAGAUUUCUAUGAUAAAUCACAGUAACAAUGGAAUGGCCAUUCUGUGAUUUGUCUUUAAAAACUCACAAAGGGAUAAAUAUUAAAGUGUAACAUAAAAAAAGGCAGGAAAAAUAACAAAGGAUGACUAAAAGGAGGAGAGGAAAGUUUUGCUUAAAGACUUACCCAAGAAAGAAAGAGGGAUACAAUUCAAUAAAGUGAUAAAGUGAAUAAGUUUGAAAGAAUUAAUAAGUGAAGUAGAAUUCCAAAUCUAGGAAAGGGGAUAAAAAACAAAAGGUGAAAGUCACUUGAGAAUGAGGGGGAGAAAGCCUGUGAAAAUAAUGUUUCUUUAAAAUAAAUUAAGUAAAAAUAACUAGAGACGGUAUUGUCUUUAAAGAAAAAGAGCAGAUAAAAAAGUCCUCAUUGAGAAAAAAAGGUAAUGCAGACAAAUGGAGGAAACUAUAAACCUAACAUAUAAAUCUAUUAAUAAUUCAACAAAAUAAAAGAGCCUAAGAGAUUUGAUAAGAAAAGAAAUUCUGUGAAAAUGAGAAGUCUCUAGUCUCAAAAUAUUUGCAUUCUAAUGAAAGGAAACAACACAGAAAAGAUAGCUAAAUAAGUAAAAGAAAGGGAGAAAAUAGGGAACGAAGGUAAAACAUCUAAAGAUUUAGGAGUGAAGUCCAGGAAAAGUGAGCUAAGGUUGGUCUUCCUUAAAUGGAGAUUCCAGGAAGAAACUCAACAGUGGGAGGAAAGGAACACUUGCAGAGGUAGCAGUACCUUCAAGAUGAGAAAGAGGGGUAAUCUGAGAAAAGUCCAAAGAACAGGAAUGGAAAUAAGUUUUGACUUCCCCAGAUACCUCUUCAAAUGGACAUAGUGAGCAGGAGCUCAACCAUAAGAGAAAAAGGUAGGAGGAAGCAUCUCCAGGUUGAGGAGACAGUUGAGACCAGAGUCAAAAGUAGAAUUGGGAGAGAAGAAAGCAAAAAUAAAUCAAAUAAAGAUGAGAAACUGAAACAAAAUAUUCUAUGAUCAAGGGGAAUAAAAAAGCAGGAAUUUCAAUAGUUAUCUGACAAAACAUAUAACUAAAAUUCAUAAUGUAAAAAAAAAAAAAAAAGAUGAAGAAAACUACAUUAUGUUUAAAGGAACCAAAGCCAAGAAACUGAUAUCAAACUUAAACUUAUAUGACCAAAUUUCUCAAUCUAAAUUCAUUAAGGAAAAAUUCAAGUUAGAUAUUUAAAAUAUAAAAAUUAACUAAAUCUAAAAAUUAGGCACAAAAACAUAGAGGCAGGAAUUUCAUGAUAAAAAGGAUAUGUUAAUGACCUACUCUCAUUUUGGAUAAUUUUAAUAGAAAGAUGAACAAAAAAAGAAAAGUUGUUGAAUUUAACAAAAUAUUGAAGAAAAUAGGGUAUGUAUUUGUGUGUUUGCACACAUAAAUAUACAUACACACAUAAUUUAUUAUAUAUAUAUAUAUAUAUUUCUAAAUGGGACUCCUAAAAGAUAUGUAUUUCUCAGAACUAUAUUGAACUCUUGCAAAAAUUGAUCAUGUAGUUUUCUCUUAUUGUAAGAUAUUUCAGAAAUAUUACAAGACAAUGUAAAAAUAGGGAAAUUUUAAACAUUUUAUGUAUUUAAAAUAUGUAUAUGACUAAAAAAAUUAACCUUCCAACAAAUGAACAAACUUCAAAUGAAAACAAAAGAGGAGACAUUUAAAAUUAAAAGAGAAAUAAAUUAAUUAGAAACAAAAGAAUUAAAGAAAUUAAAAGCUUGUUCUUAAAAAAAACUUAAAAAUAAUAAAUUUAUCCAAGUUGAUCCAAAACAAGAGGGCAGAAAAUUAAAUCAACAAAAUGUCAUGUAAAAAAAGUGAAAUCAUAACAAAAUCAGAAGAAAUAAAAAGAACAAUCAGGAUCUAUCAUGUAUAGAUAUAUGUUAACAAAACUAAGAAACAAAAGAAAAGGAUACUUUACAGGAGUGAAAUGAGUGCUACUGUGCUGUAAUGAAUAAUGAAUAUGGAAAAGCAUGGGAACACAAUUGCAUUCAAGUAAUCUGUGCCAAGAAAAACAACACACAUACUAAUGACAACUAUCAACUGAAAAAACAUAAAACAAAAUAAAAACAAAAUACUAUAUAAGUGGAUGGAAUAAAACUACAAAAAAACCA